AGCCCUGCUUCCUUUCCUGCCCUGACGCUGAGGGUGACGGAAGUUGUCAGCCAUGAUGUCGUGGCGGCGGCAGAGCUUGGGGGCCCAUCACGGAUCCGUUCGAGGUGCUGCAAAGCCUGUGUGUUUUGAAGAUGUAUGAAGGUUGUAACAGGAGUUUCCCACACCCAUCAUAGAAGAUGGCUGCGAAUAAACUAGUAGGUCGCACCUGAAUGUGCUGAAGUACUAAGAGUUCAUGUCAAGCAUAUCGAGAGCUGUAGGCAAACUUUCGGCUCCUUAGGCUGUGGUGUUUAAAAAUGUUUCAUUGCCUCAAGUGUGGCAUGCAGCAGUUCAGAAGGAAAAGUGAAGAACUGAUCAAGAAAACAUGAACAGAAACGAAUGAUGAAAAUUCACACUGUAGUAAAUGAUGUAGACAAACACAUACUUUUAAUUGCUGAGCAAUAAAGUGCUUGAAUGAUGCAUUUUGAUAGUCA